UAAUACGGAGGGUGCGAGCGUUGUCCGGAAUCACUGGGCGUAAAGGGCGCGUAGGCGGCCGUGUAAGUCACUUGUGAAAUCCCGGGGCUCAACUCCGGGGCUGCAGGUGAGACUGCAUGGCUAGAGCUCGGUAGAGGCAAGUGGAAUUCCCGGUGUAGCGGUGGAAUGCGUAGAUAUCGGGAAGAACACCGGUGGCGAAGGCGGCUUGCUGGGCCGUAGCUGACGCUGAGGCGCGAAAGCGUGGGGAGCAAACAGGAUUAGAUACCCUGGUAGUCCACGCCGUAAACGAUGGGUACUAGGCGUCGGGGGGAGCGACCCCCUCGGUGCCGUCGCUAACGCAGUAAGUACCCCGCCUGGGGAGUACGGUCGCAAGACUG
rnacentral:rRNA from 1 species